rnacentral:rRNA from 1 species
GAUGAACGCUGGCGGCGUGCCUAAUAUAUGCAAGUCGAGCGAACAGAUAAGGAGCUUGCUCCUUUGACGUUAGCGGCGGACGGGUGAGUAACACGUGGGUAACCUACCUAUAAGACUGGAAUAACUCCGGGAAACCGGGGCUAAUGCCGGAUAACAUUUAGAACCGCAUGGUUCUAAAGUGAAAGAUGGUUUUGCUAUCACUUAUAGAUGGACCCGCGCCGUAUUAGCUAGUUGGUAAGGUAACGGCUUACCAAGGCAACGAUACGUAGCCGACCUGAGAGGGUGAUCGGCCACACUGGAACUGAGACACGGUCCAGACUCCUACGGGAGGCAGCAGUAGGGAAUCUUCCGCAAUGGGCGAAAGCCUGACGGAGCAACGCCGCGUGAGUGAUGAAGGUCUUCGGAUCGUAAAACUCUGUUAUUAGGGAAGAACAAAUGUGUAAGUAACUGUGCACGUCUUGACGGUACCUAAUCAGAAAGCCACGGCUAACUACGUG